GACGAACGCUGGCGGCGUGCUUAACACAUGCAAGUCGAACGGUGAAGCGCCUUCCUUUUUGGUGGGUGUGGAUGAGUGGCGAACGGGUGAGUAACACGUGAGUAACCUGCCCCCUUCUUCUGGAUAACCGCAUGAAAGUGUGGCUAAUACGGGAUAUUCUGGGUCUGUCGCAUGAUGGGUCUGGGAAAGAUAUUGUUUCGGUGGGGGAUGGGCUCGCGGCCUAUCAGCUUGUUGGUGGGGUGAUGGCCUACCAAGGCGGUGACGGGUAGCCGGCCUGAGAGGGUGGACGGUCACACGGGGACUGAGACACGGCCCAGACUCCUACGGGAGGCAGCAGUGGGGAAUAUUGCACAAUGGGCGCAAGCCUGAUGCAGCGACGCCGCGUGAGGGAUGGAGGCCUGCGGGUUGUGAACCUCUUUCGCCAGUGAAGCAGGCCUGCCUCGUUUGUGGGUGGGUUGACGGUAGCUGGAUAAGAAGCGCCAGCUAACUACGUG
rnacentral:rRNA from 1 species